UGAAAAAGCUUAAGCAUAAUAAAGCUGCUAACUUUGUUAUAAAUAAUUAGAAUUAUUUUUUUUCAU
rnacentral:tRNA from 1 species